GGGUCAGUAGGUUGGUCGUGCCACCGGUACGUACUGGUCUCACUGAUACCUCCUUCCUGAAGAACCGUAAUGCCAUUAAUUUGGUGUUGCGGGGAAACAGGACUGUUACUUUGAAAAAAUUAGAGUGUUUAAACCAAGCUAACGCUUGAAUACAUUAGCAUGGAAUAAUGAAUUAGGACGAUCGAUCCUAUUUUGUUGGUUUCUAGGAUUGACGUA
rnacentral:rRNA from 1 species